CGCCUUUUGAAAUUUCAUAAAAGGUUAGGCCUGCCCAAUGAGUUUUAAAUGGCCGCGGUAUUUUGACCGUGCGAAGGUAGCAUAAUCAUUAGUCUGUUCAUUGCAGACUGGAAUGAAUGGCUAGAUGGGGAGAAGCUGUCUCUUUUAUAAAAAUGAAUUUUAGAUCUUUGUGAAGACGCUUAGAUGAAGCAGAAAGACGAGAAGACCCUAUUAAGCUUUACAUUAUUUACUUUCAUAUUAUUUAAGUAAUAUAUGUUGUGCUGGGGCGGCAGUAAAGGUUAACCUUUACAAUAUUUUAAUAUUUUAAGUAAAGUUAGAAUGAUCCAUAAUAUAUGAUCAUUAGGAUUAGUUACUAUAGGGAUAACAGCGUAAUUUUAUCGGAGAGUCCAUAUUGAUGAUAAGGAUUGCGACCUCGAUGUUGAAUUAGGAUCCCUGUAUAGUGCAGCCGUUAUAUAAGGUAAUCUGUUCGAUUAUUAAAUUCCUACA
rnacentral:rRNA from 1 species